rnacentral:sRNA from 1 species
ACGAAGCCGCGCCGGUAUACCGGUAUCCC